GCCAAAUCACCUUGAAACACCUGUCCCCGUACGAUCAGCGAAGUUAAGCAACGUCGAGCCAGAUCAGUACCUAAAUGGUGACCGUUUUGGAAUACCAUAUGCUGUAAG